rnacentral:rRNA from 1 species
CUACGGGGGGCUCCAGUGGGGAAUAUUGCACAAUGGGCGCAAGCCUGAUGCAGCAACGCCGCGUGAGGGACGACGGCCUUCGGGUUGUAAACCUCUUUUAGCAGGGAAGAAGCGAAAGUGACGGUACCUGCAGAAAAAGCACCGGCUAACUACGUGCCAGCAGCCGUGGUAAUACGUAGGGUGCAAGCGUUGUCCGGAAUUAUUGGGCGUAAAGAGCUCGUAGGCGGUUUGUCGCGUCUGCUGUGAAAAUCCGAGGCUCAACCUCGGACCUGCAGUGGGUACGGGCAAACUAGAGUGCGGUAGGGGAGAUUGGAAUUCCUGGUGUAGCGGUGGAAUGCGCAGAUAUCAGGAGGAACACCAAUGGCGAAGGCAGAUCUCUGGGCCGUAACUGACGCUGAGGAGCGAAAGCGUGGGGAGCGAACAGGAUUAGAUACCCGAGUAGUC